rnacentral:rRNA from 1 species
UCCUCUUGACAUCCAGCGAACUUUCCAGAGAUGGAGGGGUGCCUUCGGGAACGCUCAGACAGGUGCUGCAUGGCUGUCGUCAGCUCGUGUUGUGAAAUGUUGGGUUAAGUCCCGCAACGAGCGCAACCCUUGUCCCUAUUUGCCAGCGAUUCGGUCGGGAACUCUUGGGAGACUGGCGGGGACAAACCGGAAGAAGGUGGGGACGAACUCAAAUCAUCCUGGCCCUUUCGGGUAGGGCUACCCACGUGCUACAAUGGCCGGUACAAAGGGUUGCCAAACCGCCAGGGGAAACCAAUCCCCAUAAAGCCGGCUUCAAUCCGGAUUGGAAUCUGCCACUCCACUCCCUGAAAUCGGAAUCCCUAGUAAUCGUGGAAUCAAAUGGCCCGGUGAAUACCUUUCCGGGUCUUUGACCCCCCGAAA